GAGGUGGGAGAAUUGCUAGAGUCCAGGAGCUCCAGGCUGCAGUAAGUUGUGAUCUUGCCACUGCACUCCAGCCUGAGUGACAGAGCAAGAACCUGUCU
rnacentral:miRNA from 1 species